AUCUUCUCCUGUUGCAAGAACAAACUCACUCAGGUUAUAGCAAAAGAGGCAAGAAAACUCUUGGAAAUAAGGGUGGCAUGGCCUUGACACUGGGCCAUUUUGCCAAGAGAACAAAUCACGUUAGGCUCUGAGCAAUGGUCCUAGGGUCCUCGGAGCCCACCGGCUGAACUACCAGCCAAGAGGUCUGGAGAAUGUCUUCUCAUGAGGGGACGUCUACUCAUCCUGAUCCUGUUGCUGUAUCAUCAACAUGUAAUCCCUCUGGAGCAUGUAGGGUCAUCAGCAUGGCUCCUACCAUCCUACAGAAGACCUUGCCUGUUGGGAGUUCCUGAAGCGCUGAGAUCUGAGGGGAAGGUCACCUGUCAGUCCUGCUGUGAGUGAGUAGAAGCCACAGAGCACAGGCCAGUGAAGGCAGGGCUGUGCUUUGUGUGAUCAGUGUCAUCAACAUGGAGCCGGGCGAGGAUAAUGACAGCUCUUCAUUCUAAAAGCAAGGAAGGUCCAAAGAAGACAGACAAAUGGCCAACAAACAUUUGCCAAGAUGCUCAACAUCAUUAAUCAUUAGGGCAAAUGCAAAACAAAGCUGCAUGGAGAUGACACCUCACACCCAUCAGGACGGUUACUAUCAGAAAACAGAAAACAACCAGUGAGAGUGAAGAUGCUCAAACCUUUGUACAUUGUUGGUGGGAAUGUGAAAUGGUAUAGCCACUAUGGGAAACAGUGUGGCAAUUCCUGAAAAAAUAAAAAUUUGAAUUACCAUACAAUUUAGCAAUUCUAUUUCUGGGUAUAUAUAUUCAAAAGCAUUGAAAGCAGGGUCUUGAAGAGAUGUUUGUACACCUGUAUUCGUGGCAGCAUUCUCUACAAUAGCCAAAAGGUGGAAGCAACUCAAUUAUCCCUCAACGGGUGAAUGAAUAAACAAAAUGUGGUCUAUAAACAAAAAGGAAUAUUAUUCAGCCUUGAAAAAGGAAGGACAUCUUGUCAUAUACUACAGCAUGGAUGAACCUUGCGGGCAUUAUGCUAAGUGAAAUGAGCCAGUCACAAAAGGACAAAUACCGUAUGACUCCACUUCUACCGGGUGCCUGGAGUAAUCACAUUCCUAGGGACAGAAAAUGGAAAGGUGAUGGCCAGGGAAUGGAGGGAGAAGGAAGUAGGGAGUUAGUAUUCAAUAGGCACAAAGUUUCAGUUUUGCUAAAUCAAAAGAAUUCUGUGGCUGGAUGAUGGUGAUGCCUGCACAAGAAGAGAGUAUUUAAUAGCACUGAACUGUACACUUAAGAGGGUUAAAUGAUGAAUUUUAUGUUAGGCUUAUCUUGCCACAAUAAGAAAAGAAUCGAGGGACAAAGGCAGAUACUAGAAAUUCAGGAAGUUGGAGAUGCAGGAGAAAGGUGUCUCUGCUCCCAAGUGACAUGGCUUCUCUCCCCUUCUCCAGGGGAAGCUCCUCCUCCACUGUGGGUUUCUCACCCUCCUGAAGUCAGGGGACUACUCUCAGGGGACUCUUGUCAAGGUUCACGUUAACCUAUUUUUCACAUGGAAAAAUAUGUUCUCCAAAGAGAAGUGGGACACAUGAAAUGAUUGAGAGGCCCUGGCACUCUGAGCCCGAAUACAUAACAAAGCCAGUUCUAUGCUGAUCCCUCCUCUAACCCCUGCUGGGAGCCUGCAGCCUGGGGUUAGGAACGGUGUCCUCAUGGAUCAGGACAAAUCCCCAGAUGACCUUUGCCUUAACCUCCUCCACCCCAGCUCUUUGGGGUUGCUGGAGAUCUGGGGCUUUCAUUACUUAGAGGGAGAAAUGAAUCCUGCCAUUGUAUUCUGGUAAUAACCUGUCAGACUCGUGAAAAGCCCUUGCUAGAGGACUUGGGAAACACUGCAAUGUUAUUAUGUGUGAAGAAAGACCACUUCGUUUCUCCUGUGCUGGAGACAGACGUGUUUGUUAACCUUUAGAGGCCCUUAGCACAGAAAUACAAGCAUGGCACCCUCCUCCCCAUCCUCCAAAAGAAAUUAAAUCAUAAAAUAGAGGGAAAAAAAAAAAAAACCAGAACAAGUAUAAGGAAAUCCACCAAUGGUCUUAUUUCUUCCCACAAUGACUUCUUAGAUAAGCUUUUAAAAAUAUGUUUAAAUUAAUAGACUAUUGUUGGAGCAGUUUUAGGUUUAUAGAAACAUUUAGCAAAAAGUACAGAGUUCCUGUCUCUCCCUCAGCACCAUUCCCCACAGCUUCCUCUACUGCUAACGUCUUGUAUUGGUGCUACAUUUGUUACUACUGAUGAGACAGUGGUAACACAUUAUUAUUAACUAAAGUCCACAGAUCACAUUGGGCUUCACACUGUGCGUGGACAUUCUGUGGGUUUCGAUCAAUGCAUAAAGAGAGACAUCCACCAUCAUAGUAUCCUACAGAGUGGUUUCACUGCCCUAAAAAUCGUCUGUGCUCCACCUAUUAAUCUCUCGCUUUCUACCCCCCAGCCAAACCCCUGGUAACCACUGAUCCUUUUGCUA